AGAGCACCUGCUACUUCCAAGCUCCACUUCACACCUUCUUUAUUCAUCUUUUCGAAAAACUCCCAAGCUUCUUUCGCACUAUUGCCCCGUUUCCUCAUUAUUGUAAUCACAAUGGAACUCGUCACAUGGUCUGGUUGGACACAAUUUGCCGCCAUGGACUGAUAAAAUUCCCAAGCAUCAUCAUACCUUCUACAGCAUAAAAGCCCGGAAAUAGCUGCAUUGUAAACAUGGACAUCCCUGAACCCCUUUCGAUUAGGCAAGUUCUUAAAUAAAAGUAGUAACUCCUUGCUCAUACCAGCCCUGCCAAGGAUCAGGAACAGAACCUUAUAU
rnacentral:misc_RNA from 1 species